rnacentral:rRNA from 1 species
GGGCUCACACAAGCGGUGGAGCAUGUGGCUUAAUUCGAGGCAACGCGAAGAACCUUAUCCUGGGUUUGACAUGUACGGAUGGCUCGCCUGAAAGGGAUGAGUCUGCCUUCGGGUGAAACGUACACAGGUGCUGCAUGGUUGUCGUCAGCUCGUGCCGUGAGGUGUCAGGUUAAGUCCUAUAACGAGCGCAACCCCUGUCGUUAGUUGCCAUCAAGUAAUGUUGGGUACUCUAGCGAGACUGCCGGUGCAAACCGAGAGGAAGGUGGGGAUGACGUCAAAUCAUCACGGCCCUUACGUCCUGGGCUACACACGUGCUACAAUGGCCGGUACAGAGAGCAGCCACUACGCGAGUAGGAGCGAAUCUUCAAAACCGGUCUCAGUUCGGAUCGCAGUCUGCAACUCGACUGCGUGAAGCUGGAAUCGCUAGUAA